UACGUAGGAGGCAAGCGUUUGUCCGGAAUUAUGCUGGGCGUAAAGCGCGUGUGGUGGUGGGACAAGUCUCGUGUGAAAGCGCCUGGCUUAACCGGGCGAGGUCGGGCGGAAACUGUCCGAACUAGAGGGACGGUAGAGGGGGGUGGAAAUUCCCGGUGUAGUGGUGAAAUGCGUAGAGAUCGGGAGGAACACCUGUGGCGAAAGCGGCGCACUGGACCAUAACUACGCUGGAGGCGCGAAAGCUAGGGGAGCAAACAGG
rnacentral:rRNA from 1 species